rnacentral:rRNA from 1 species
AUGGUCGUCGUUGCCGCGUCGAUCCCGCGGCCACCGGCAUCCCCGUCACCUGAGAGCAUGCCCUGGAGCUUCAGCGCCUCCGACUCCAUCGACUACGUGCAUCAGUUCGAGCUCAGACGCCCUGCUGCCUCGCCAUCCGUCAUCUUCUCCGCCCUCGCCGCCACAUCUCGUCGUCGAGCCCGUCGCGUCCGGCCACCCCCACGCUCCCCGACCUCGCCAUCGGACUUGCACUACGAGACCGACGUCGCUGCUGGUGCCCCGACCGACUACGUUGUUGACGACCCCGGCUUGCGAGAGCAACCAGAUGCUGGAGUCCAGGAGCUAGAGAUCCCGAGGAUGAUUCUACAUGGAGUUCGGCUUCGAGGAGUAGUUAGGAGGUCCCAGGCAGGAGGCCUUGCCUUUUCGAUCGUUGCUACUUUUGUGCUAGCCUUCUUAAGGCAGACUUGUUUAACUUAUGUCUAUACUCAGAUAUUGUUGCUUCCGCUGACUCGUCUAUGA